rnacentral:rRNA from 1 species
AAAGGAAUUGACGGAUCCUUCGGGUUGUAAACCUCUUUCGACCUUGACGAAGCCUUUCGGGGUGACGGUAGGGGUAGAAGAAGCACCGGCCAACUACGUGCCAGCAGCCGCGGUAAUACGUAGGGUGCGAGCGUUGUCCGGAAUUAUUGGGCGUAAAGAGCUCGUAGGCGGUCUGUCGCGUCGGUCGUGAAAACUUGGGGCUUAACCCUGAGCUUGCGGUCGAUACGGGCAUGACUGGAGUUCGGCAGGGGAGACUGGAAUUCCUGGUGUAGCGGUGAAAUGCGCAGAUAUCAGGAGGAACACCGGUGGCGAAGGCGGGUCUCUGGGCCGAUACUGACGCUGAGGAGCGAAAGCGUGGGGAGCGAACAGGAUUAGAUACCCUGGUA